AACAAUUGAAAUCGCAUGGAAUGGCCUUCUUAAAGGGGCAGAUUCCCCAAUACGACAGGGUGGACAGCCAUUCAAGGGACAUGGACAAACUCUUCUUUUUUAUUAAAUAAAAAUAUUGUUUUUAUU